AUUGUGGUAGUAGAAGAAAAUAUAUAAGGCUUAGGACCUUAGGAUGGGAGAUGUUCCCCACAAUG
rnacentral:tRNA from 1 species